GACGCUUCGGGAUAUGCAAGCUCUCCUCUUCUCUCACACACGGUCCGACAGAACACAAACCGAACACCAUCUCCACUCGACGACGGAGGCACGAGGGGCGCAACAGCGCAUCGCAACGCGUUCCUCCCCGAUACAGAUAACCGCCGGCGGCAAAACCACCCCUCGCCAGACGGGGGCCUUUUCGGCCAUGUUUGGUACAACACCCAGUCCCGCGACAGCCGGGCUAGUUGAAACCACCUCCUGCUCCCCGCGCAUCCACCUUGCUAGCCGCCGGACAGUGAAUGCCAGGCCGGCCCUCAACAAUCCACAACCGGCACCGCCCACCGCCAGCAGCAGGCCAACCGGCGCGCGAAUGCAAAAACGCGCCAGGCCGCCAAAACGCUAGGCGGCGGCCGGCACCGGCCCCCGGCCUCGCCCACGAAAAAAAUCAAGGCAA
rnacentral:lncRNA from 1 species